rnacentral:rRNA from 1 species
AUUGAACGCUGGCGGCAGGCCUAACACAUGCAAGUCGAACGGUAACAGGAAGAAGCUUGCUUCUUUGCUGACGAGUGGCGGACGGGUGAGUAAUGUCUGGGAAGCUGCCUGAUGGAGGGGGAUAACUACUGGAAACGGUAGCUAAUACCGCAUAACGUCGCAAGACCAAAAAGGGGGACCUUCGGGCCUCUUGCCAUCGGAUGUGCCCAGAUGGGAUUAGCUAGUAGGUGGGGUAACGGCUCACCUAGGCGACGAUCCCUAGCUGGUCUGAGAGGAUGACCAGCCACACUGGAACUGAGACACGGUCCAGACUCCUACGGGAGGCAGCAGUGGGGAAUAUUGCACAAUGGGCGCAAGCCUGAUGCAGCCAUGCCGCGUGUAUGAAGAAGGCCUUCGGGUUGUAAAGUACUUUCAGCGGGGAGGAAGGGAGUAAAGUUAAUACCUUUGCUCAUUGACGUUACCCGCAGAAGAAGCACCGGCUAACUCCGUG